rnacentral:rRNA from 1 species
AUUGAACGCUGGCGGCAUGCCUUACACAUGCAAGUCGAACGGCAGCACGGGUGCUUGCACCUGGUGGCGAGUGGUGAACGGGUGAGUAAUAUAUCGGAACGUACCUUAUUGUGGGGGAUAACGCAGCGAAAGCUGUGCUAAUAUCGCAUAAUCCCUAAGGGGGAAAGCGGGGGACCGUAAGGCCUCGCGCAAUUAGAGCGGCCGAUACCUGAUUAGCUAGUUGGUGAGGUAAAGGCUCACCAAGGCAACGAUCAGUAGCUGGUCUGAGAGGACGAUCAGCCACACUGGGACUGAGACACGGCCCAGACUCCUACGGGAGGCAGCAGUGGGGAAUUUUGGACAAUGGGGGCAACCCUGAUCCAGCAAUGCCGCGUGAGUGAAGAAGGCCUUCGGGUUGUAAAGCUCUUUUGUCAGGGAAGAAACAGCAGCUCUAACACAGUUUGCGAAUGACGGUACCUGAAGAAUAAGCACCGGCUAACUACGUGCCAGCAGCCGCAGUAA